rnacentral:misc_RNA from 1 species
AAAUAGACAACAGCAUUUCCAAUACAAGGUACACCAAAAAGAAAGAAGGCAAUGUUCAACUGUUACUAUUACCAAGACCGGAAGUUUGCUAACAUAUGGAAGUCUUCAUCUGCAUCCUAUCUUUGCCUCUUAUGCAGGCAGGGGCAAACUGCAGUACAAUCAUGCACCUUGGAACAAGGCAACUUCUUCCAUGUGGCUACUGCAAACUCCACCAAUGCCUUUGCUGCCGCUUGUUCGCUAUCUGCUGCCCACACAAUGAAUGCAACUUGGUUGUUACUAAGCACAUCCCAUACCUGAGUACCAACCCAGAGCCACUCAUAAAAGUUUGCCAUUUUUGAAAGGAAAAUUAGGUGGUUUUACUUUUCUAUUGUACUGAAAAUGCCCCUAUCAAUAUUUCAUGGAAAUGGGCUUACCCCAUCAGUUGCCAAAAUGAUGAACUGGUCGCUAGAUGUCAAUCGGCGAUAAGAGAUCUCUG